AUGAGCAGAAGCUGAUUGCAAGCAACAAGUUAUAUAUAUUGAGCCAUCUGUCACAAAAACCCAUUGCUUUUUAUUUUUUUAUGAGCAGCUGUAUAGAUCUUGAUACAAACCUUAGCCCCUUUGAUCCACCUUGAAAAGCUAGUUACUCAAGUGGAGAGGCUAAACUCACAUCAAGUUGCAUUUGUAAUCGAUGUGGGACUAUUCCUUACGGUUUAGUAUGGAGUUCGCAUUAGAUCUCUCCCACAAAAACGACGAGUCCAGCAAUAUCAAAUUCGCUGAAGAAUCCCAAGUGACAAAUGAGUGAACAAAAACACUCACAAAUUCACAAGAGGAAGCAUUGCACAAACAGUGAGGAAAAAAGUUAACCCAACAGUCUGUUGGCUCAGUGAUUCAAAUGACGAUCCGAGAUUAAUCGUAGACCCUGACAUCUUGCAUCGAAUCCCACUUACAAUAAUUGUGAAAAAGCAAUAAAUAAA
rnacentral:lncRNA from 1 species